rnacentral:lncRNA from 1 species
CUGUUGUUACUGAUGUGUUACUCGUGACGCUUGAAACCGCAGUAAGGCGAUCUCCCUGGCCUGUGAUUGGCGGGAGAGAGGGAUUUUGAGUGGGUCCGGGAUGAGUUCAUAUCGGUGGAGGACCAGAAGGAAGGUAGAAGAGGGUGGGUCGGUUCCAAAGGGUUAAGAAAAGCCGGAUGGAAGCAUUUGUCAUGCGUUAUGGCCGUCCACAUCUGACGCUGCCGUCGGGACGAGGUCGACGUUGCCGGCGACGGCGGGCCCGUGGCGUCCCCAUUAGUCUCUCGACACCUUCGCCGUCCGUCGUUCGUUCUUUUCUUUUCUUGCUUUCUUCUCCAUGUGUUUUUCCGCCAACAAAUAAUUAUUUACGUUGAUUGGAGAUCAAUUUGUUUAUGAGAUGAUCAUUAUUUAGACUUGACAGAAAAUAACAGAAAACGACGAUUUGAUAUAAAUCAAAUCAAAACGUAUGAUCCGAUCGCGGUUCGAUUUGAAUAGCUAAAGCAUCGGAAUCAAAUCGGAUUAAUUGUUUGAUGAUUUCAAAUCAAAUCAGAAUCAAUGGUUUAGACUAUGUUUCAGAUCGAUAAAAAAAAUACAAAAAAUCUCAACAAUCAAAUGUCAUUCUAAGUAACAAAUGUCUUCCUUCUAACAAUUAAUUAGAGAAAUAUUUUAUAAUAAAAAAAGAUAAUUUCGGUGCGAAACCUGAAUUAUGAAAUCGAUUCAAUUCGGAUUUCAAAUUAUCGAUCCUAAAACCAGAAUCAAUACUAUCAAAACUAAUGAUUGGUGAGGCAAAGAAAAGAACAAUACCAUACCAUGAAAAGGCAUGUCCUCCCCCGACUCAAACCACCAAACAAAACUGGAGGGUAAGAGGCGGAAGAAGACGACGUAGGAGUGUUGGUAGGCGGUCCAAGUUCAGUGCGCAUGGAAUGAUGCAGAAAGCAUGGGGGCGAGCACCGGCACAUGCAUGCAUCCAUGGCGGGCUCCUGCGCUCGCCAAGCUUCCACGCACAGCUAUCAAGCACCGCCGCCUCUUAAUUGUCCCAACAACAGUAGACUCAAAACCUUAUGCUUUUACGACCAUAACAUGUAAAUUAUAUACCGAUGCGCAAAAAUAUUCGGAUUUCAUUUUUUUUCUCAUUAACAUAAAAUUUUACUUAUAAUUAAUAGUUUUCUAUUAAAUUUAUAUUGGGUCUUGGCUUUUUUGAUGAUCAACUUUGACCCCCUUGCAUCAAUCUCGAAGCAGAUGCGUCGAGAAGAGAUACCAUCAGGGCCUUUAUUCGGCCCAAUCUACCAAUUUUGAGCUCCACAUCUGUGCCAUAUCCGUGAAGCCCAUAAAACCCAGUAAGAAAGAAUACCGUCGCCUUCGUCGAGCAACUUACACCCGCUGGGCUAAGGUUAACUCGCUCCGCUCACUAAAACUAUUUAAGACACCAACUUACACCCAAGUAGAGAACGCUUCGAUGACAUUUAUAAUAACUACACGAGCAAAAUGAGCCGCAAAUUGACCGCGCAGAGAACCUUCGACCAUCAUAUACCAUAGAGAUAGUAUAUGAUCAGAGGAAAAAUAUUACCAAUGUUAAAACAAAGAUAUUGAUGUCUGUUUCCAAAAUCAAGUAAUAUUAUGGAUUCAGUUUCAACUACAUAAGAUACAUUGAUAAUUUAUUAAAAUCAUGUAUUGGACUAUCGACUGAUUCAUUUGUAUAACUGUAGAAAUUUUUUUAUACCAUUAAUUUAUAAAUUUUUUAUAAGAGGUAAAGAUCCCAAAAAAAAAAAGGUUACUUAAAAGAGUCCUAAUUAGAUUCUAACUUGUUUUAAGAUUAGAAUGAGGCUCGGGUUUGUGAAAGGCCGUAACUGCAGGCAUGAUUGAUAUGAGAGGCUUCAUCUGAGGAGUGUAGGAUUUAUGUUAGCCCAAGAGAGAUAUUACUUUUAUUUAUUUUUUAAAAUAUUUUUUAAUAAAAAAGAUUCUUAUAUAUUAUUUAUUAUUAAUAUAUAAAUUUCUCUUUUUAAUUUUAAUUUUUUUAUUUUAAGGCCUUCUCUCCCUCCAUCACAUUGAAGUUUCGAAUCCAAACCCCGAUAACAAAGGAAAAGAAGCAGAAGUUUGAGGCCGCAAGAAGCAAAAGAAACCCACAAAGGGCCAAACUUCAAAACCUUAUACCAAAAAAGACGAUCGAUGCGCAAGAUAGUACAGAGCUCUUACCUUGGAUUUCCGCUUCCCCGUACCCUCCNNNNNNNNNNNNNNNNNNNNAUUGAAGCUUCGAAUCCAAACCCCGAUAACAAAGGAAAAGAAGCAGAAGUUUGAGGCCGCAAGAAGCAAAAGAAACCCACAAAGGGCCAAACUCCAAAACCUUAUACCAAAAAAGACGAUCGAUGCGCGAGAUAGUACAGAGUUCUUAC